UUUUUUUGAGUACUGUAGCCAGUUGGUUUGGUGUAAAUUAAGAGGAUUCAAAUUUGCCAACCAACACAAUAGUGUUGGUCAUGGAACCAUCAAGUAAGAAGCUGUCACGUGUAUCAAAACUUAACUAUAGUUAACCUUAGUUAGUAAUAAAAGAAAAUUGAUUUUUUUAUUUGUGUUUAUUAGUUUAUUACUCUCUCACCUAGACCUCGGCAACUACAGAUCUCUCUCUCCACCGAAAAAAGAACUCCAGACUCUCUCGUCCGUUGCUAUCUCGCUGCCGGAGAAGAAAGCCCCUUCUGUGGGAGCUAGCAUGGGAGGAAUGGGAGGCAUGGAUUACUAGAACUUCAGUAGUUGGAUUUGCUAAAGCCUCUGCUGCUAAUUGUCAAUCCUCUUUAAACGAACGCUUCGAAUCCCUUUUAGUUUUUCCUGACAGUAUUGUUGGAGGCCGAACAUGAAUGUAAUCAUAGUGAGAUGGGGUUCUAAUCUGUAGGAAGAAUGUAGUGCUAUUAAUUGGUCAGGCAAAAGAUUUUGUUCUCCCCACAUUAGACUUCACAAAGUUCAUAUUUCCAGAAAAUCUCAGUGUGAUUGGUGAACAAUGAUAGUACAAAAAUCUGUGGGAGAAUGAACAGGUAAAUUCCUCAAUUUCUUCUGUAUAACAAUCCUGUGUUUCUAAAUAAAUAAAAAAACAAAAAACUACAGACUCUCUCAUAGAGUCUGAGUGUGAGUCUGGGCAUUAUCUCUCUCCCACUCUCAAAGGCUGAACUUGUUCAAGGAGGAUCGACAACCUUUGAAGACCACCUUUGCUGGCACAACCACCAAAACCUUCCUAAGGUACGAUCCCACUUUCUCUUAGUUGUUUCAAAAUCUGGUUUCUGUGAAUUUUUAAAUCUUAUAUCUUCAAUUUUGAUAGUAUGAUUGAUUUUGGCUCAUCAACUUUGAAUUUCUUAUUGGGUCUGCAACUAUGAUGAGAACAUCAACUAUAAAUUGAAUGCUUGCAAAAUUUCUAUAGUUUCGUAUAGGUCUCCGAGAGAGGGAAAGGAUCAAGCUUUAUACUACUCAAAUUUGCCAGUGUGAAAAUCCGGAACUGAGGUGCUGAGGCUACUCAUUUCUUCAUCUGCGUUUAAUUUUAAAUCUGGGUUGAAGACGAAAAGUGGUUUAGUUAAGUAAAUAACUAAAUAUUAAAAAAUGAUUAUCAUUAGUAUUUAACCUUGAAAAGAGAUACUAAAUUAACCCCAGUUAGUUCAUGGUUGGUGUUUCACACGUGGCAGCUUCUUACUUGAUGGUCCCAUGACCAACACUAUUGUGUUGGUUGGCAAAUUUGAAUCCAAAUUGGGAUCAGCAACAAGUAUGAUACUAGUGGUCUAUCUACUUACUUGUGCAGACUCAACCCAGCUACCUGCAUUCUGCUUUUGAACACCUUUCUCUUUCAUUGUCUUCCUUAACUUGAGCACACUAUUCCAAACUCCUCUUUCCCCAUGAAUUCUUGAAAGCGUUGAAAAUAUUGCAGGAUGGUCACUUUCCAGUUUAUCAAGUUCCUUUGCAGCAAACUUACCAAGUUCCAAACUUGAAUGCAAACCACAAGCACCAAGUAACGCACACCAAACAAC
rnacentral:lncRNA from 1 species